CAGCCGUAAACAAUGUGCGUUAGGUGUGUCGGUAACCACGCGUUACUGAUGCGCCGAAGAGAAAUCGUGAAACGCACCACCUGGGAAGUACGGUCGCAAGGCUGAAACUUAAAGGAAUUGGCGGGGGGAGCACCACAACAGGUGGAGCCUGCGGUUUAAUUGGACUCAACGCCGGGAAGCUCACCGGAUAGGACAGCAGAAUGAUUGCCGGGCUGAAGACCCUGCAUGACUAGCUGAGAGGUGGUGCAUGGCGUAGACGUGU
rnacentral:rRNA from 1 species